UUUCCAUUCCCUCCUCUCUCUCACAACUCACAUCAACUUUAUCAGAUCAACUUUCUCCUUCCUUUCUCUCUCUUUCUCUCAGAUCUAGAUCGGAAGUGUUUGAACCACCAGUGGAGGAAACUAGGGUUUCGUCGUCCGUGAUGAAAGAUGUCUGGAGUGCUGAUGGUUUGAGAUGAAAUCAGAUGAUGAAAACACACAGGGUUGAACACUGAUUUGAAGAAACCCUAACUGAAGGUUUCGUCAGGUCAUAUCUGCUGUGGUUUCUUUCGGCUUUUCUUCCACAUCAACGAUUAGCAAAAAGCUGCAGUUCAACCAGGGGAAAAUAUAUGUUGUAUGGUGGGUUGGAGAGGUGGGGAGUCAACUGAUGAUGGUGAAACUACAUAGGGUCAAGUACCCUGUGUUAUUGGGAUUCUAAUGGGGCCUCUGGUGUGGAAGAAGAAGUUACAAAAGUAAUAAUAAGAGCAUUCCUGGAUGAGAAACCACAUCAGCAAGUGCGUUCUCAAUCAGAUCAACCAUAUCCCAUGGCUCGAAAGCUAGCCCGCUUUCACAGUCGAAGACAUGUGGCAUGAAUAUCAGUUUCAACUCUCAAAACAAUAUCAAGAGUUUCACAGGCCUCACGUCAUCCUUCUUAGCCAAGGAAAAACAAACGCUUUUGAUGAGCUUUAUAGUUGAUGAUACAAACGGUGAAACGCAAGAUGAUGACAUCACCAGCGAAGAUAGCGAGUCAGAUGAUGCCGAUGAUCAUUUCGAUCCCGUUUGUGCGAUAUGUGAUAAUGGUGGCAGGCUUACAUGAGUCAAAACGAAUAUAAAUGUGAAAAUUGUCAGUAUAGUCUGCACCAGUACUUUGUCUGUGGUGAACUAGGGUCUUCUGAUAAAUCUGCAAAU